GCGGAAGGCUGGACGGCCGCUUAAACUUGGUUCUUGCGAACACGGGUGUAAGAGGAAAGUCCGGACUCCACAAAGCAACGGUGCCGGGUAACGCCCGGCGGGGGUAACCCUAGGGACAGCGCCACAGAAAACAAACCGCCCUGUGCGCGGAUCGGGCAACCGAUAUCACACGCAGGGUCAGGGUGAAACGGUGGGGUAAGAGCCCACCGCGGGACGGGCAACCGGACCGGCACGGCAAGCCCCACCGGGAGCAAUGCCAAAUAGGGACCGCGCGAGGGCAUGCCCUCGGGGCCGCUUUAGCCCCAGCAGGUCCGGGUUGGCAGCUAGAGAAGCAGAGGCAACUCUGUUUCAAGAUGAAUGGUCGUCUCGGGCAGGCAACUGCCUAUGACAGAAUCCGGCUUAUAGGCCUUCCGC
rnacentral:RNase_P_RNA from 1 species